CUAAGGGCACAUGGUGGAUGCCUUGGCACUUCGAGGCGAUGAAGGACGUGGCAAGCUGCGAUAAGCUACGGUGAGGAGCAAGCAUCCUUUGAUCCGUAGAUUUCCGAAUGGGGGAACCCACAUGAGCAAUACUCAUGUACUCCCGCCUGAAUCUAUAGGGCGGGUAGAGCGAACCGGGGGAAGUGAACCAUCUCAGUACCCCGAGGAAGAGAAAACAAUAGUGAUUCCGUCAGUAGCGGCGAGCGAAAGCGGAUCAGCCUAAACCGACAGGGCAUGCUCUGUCGGGGUCGUGGGAUCAGAGUUAGGAGUUACAAAGGUUCAGGUUAGCGGAACAGUCUGGAAAGGCUGGCCAUAGGGCGUGAUAGCCGCGUACGCGAAAACUUGGAACUCUCCGUUAUGCUUUGACACCCGAGUAAUGCGGGACACGAGGAAUCCUGCAUGAAUUUGCCGGGACCAUCCGGUAAGGCUAAAUACUCCGAAGUGACCGAUAGUGAACCAGUACCGUGAGGGAAAGGUGAAAAGAACCCCGGUGAGGGGAGUGAAAUAGUACCUGAAACCAUGUGCUUACAAGCAGUGGAAGGCCAAGGUUCGUCCUGGCUGACCGCGUGCCUUUUGCAUAAUGAGCCGGCUAGUGAAUGUCACACGCAAGGUUAAACGAUAAGUGAGCCGAAGCGAAAGCGAGUCCUAAUAAGGCGUUUAGUGUGUGGUAUUCGGACGUGAAGCGAGAUGAUCUAGGCAUGGGCAGGCUGAAGCGUGGGUAACACCACGUGAAGGGCCGAACCAGUAUGGGUUGAAAACCGUUUGGAUGACCUGUGCUUAGGGGUGAAAGGCUAAUCAAAUUUCGUGAUAGCUCGUUCUCGCCGAAAUAGCUUUAGGGCUAGCCUCGGAUGAAUCGUCGCGGUGGUAGAGCACUGAAUGGGCUAGGGGCCUCACAAGGUUACUGAACCCAAUCAAACUUCGAAUGCCGCUAACGAAUAUCCGGGAGUCAGACUGCGAGUGCUAAGAUCCGUAGUCGAGAGGAAAACAGUCCAGACCGACAACUAAGGUCCCCAAAUUGUGGUUAAGUGGGAAAGGAAGUAGGGAAGCAUUGACAGCCAGGAGGUUGGCUUAGAAGCAGCCAUCCUUUAAAGAAAGCGUAAUAGCUCACUGGUCAAGCAGCCCUGCGCCGACAAUAUAACGGGGCUUAAACCACAUACCGAAGUUUCGGAAUUUGAGAUCUCAACUGUCAGAUCUCUAUACUCAAAUUCUCAUUUCAUAAUUGAAAUCCGACAUUUGAGAGAAACGAAGUAGAUCGCCGUCUGUCAAACGACCGCAAUCUCACUUCGAGAUCUGAGGGCUGAGAUCUCAAGUUGGUAGGCGAGCAUUCCGUAGCUGCGAAGCGGGACCGAAAGGACCGUUGGAGCGAUCGGAAAAGACUCUGUCGGCAUAAGUAGCGAUAACGCGGGCGAGAACCCCGCGCGCCGUAAACCUAAGGUUUCCUGAGUAAAGUUAAUCUGCUCAGGGUGAGUCGGUACCUAAGGCGAGGCCGAAAGGCGUAGUCGAUGGAAAUCCGGUUAAAAUUCCGGAACCAGUAGCAGUGCCGUGGGGGGACGCAGUAGGGUAGGUGAGACCGGUGAUGGAUAUCCGGUUGAACCGUCAUAGCCCGUCGCUUUGGUAAAUCCGGGCGACAUUAAGGGUAAGGACGGGGACGAAAGUAGGGGUGAAACCCGAAAAAAGUCACUGACCCCAGCUGCCAGGAAAAUCCUCGAUCGGCUUCAACUGCAUCACUGACCGUACCGCAAACCGACACAGGUAGGUGGGGCGAGAAUCCUAAGGCGCUUGUGAGAACUCUCGUUCAGGAACUCGGCAAAAUGUACCCGUAACUUCGGGAGAAGGGUAGCCCACCUUAGACGUGGGUCGCAGAGAAAUGUCCCAGGCGACUGUUUACUAAAAACACAGGUCUCCGCAAAGUCGUCAAGACGACGUAUGGGGGCUGACGCCUGCCCAAUGCUGGAAGGUUAAGAGGAGUGGUCAGCCGCAAGGCGAAGCUACGAAUCGAAGCCCCAGUGAAUGGCGGCCGUAACUAUAACGGUCCUAAGGUAGCGAAAUUCCUUGUCGGGUAAGUUCCGACCUGCACGAAUGGCGUAACGAUCUGGGAGCUGUCUUAACGAGAGACACAGCGAACUUGUAGUACCGGUGAAGAUGCCGGUUUCCCGCAUCUAGACGGAAAGACCCCGUGCACCUUUACUAUAACUUGACAGUGAUUUCGGGCAAACGAUGCGCAGGAUAGAUGGGAGGCUUUGAACUCGCCCUUUUGGGGGCGGGGGAGCCAACGGUGAGAUACCAUCCUUCGUUUGUCUGGACUCUAACCUACCGCCGUUAUCCGGCGGAGGGACACUAUCAGGCGGGUAGUUUGACUGGGGCGGUCGCCUCCUAAAGAGUAACGGAGGCGCUCGAAGGUUGGCUCAGGCUGUUUGGAAAUCAGCCGUAGAGUGUAAACGCAUAAGCCAGCUUGACUGCGAGACAGACAAGUCGAGCAGGUACGAAAGUAGGAGUUAGUGAUCCGGCGGUUCUGUAUGGAAGGGCCGUCGCUCAACGGAUAAAAGGUACGCCGGGGAUAACAGGCUGAUCCUGCCCAAGAGUUCACAUCGACGGCAGGGUUUGGCACCUCGAUGUCGGCUCAUCGCAUCCUGGGGCUGAAGAAGGUCCCAAGGGUCCGGCUGUUCGCCGGUUAAAGCGGUACGUGAGCUGGGUUUAGAACGUCGUGAGACAGUUCGGUCCCUAUCUGGUGUGGGCGCAGCAGGAUUGAGGGAAUCUGUCCUUAGUACGAGAGGACCGGGAUGGAUCCACCUCUAGUGUACGAGUUAUGGCGCCAGCCGUAACGCUCGGUAGCUAUGUGGAGCAUGGAUAAACGCUGAAUGCAUCUAAGCGUGAAGCCAGACCUAAGAUUAGUCCUGACCGCGAGACUCCUGGUAGACCACCAGGUUGAUAGGCUGGAAAUGUAAGUGCAGUAAUGUGCUCAGUUGACCAGUACUAAUCAGUCCCUAGGCUUGACC
rnacentral:rRNA from 1 species